rfam:Apaloderma vittatum contig24261, whole genome shotgun sequence.
GGUCAUAUUAGCUCAGUCAGCUGAGCGUGGCGCUAACAACGCCAGGGUGGCGGGUUCGAUUCCUGUUCGGUCCC